AGAAAGCGUCCCUGUGCCCGCCACCGCGAGCCACAGGAGCAUCCCCCCCGUGCGUCAGCACAUAAUCAUCGGCCAAGGCAGCGGCCUCAGCUGUCGUUUUAACUUUGCGCUCACUGAUGUAAGUAGCAAUGCGCUCCGACAGCGAGUUCUUGAACUGCUCCAAAAUAACCAGCUCCCGCAGACCAUCAUAUGACUCAACAUCUGUAG
rnacentral:misc_RNA from 1 species